GAAGUUGUCAGUAAAAACAAAGAUUUUAUAAAUUAACGAGCAGGGAGUCUUGUGGCCAGCAUAAAGACCCGUACCAAUCAGAGUUUUGAAAUUCCAAAUACCAGUCUUCAUUGAGAUUCGAAACCAGGACCAAAGAUUCGGAAGCCAAGUACUUUAACCACUCAGCCGCCUUGACUUCUGACAUAGACACGAACUCGUCAAAGAUGUCCUGCAAGAGAAAAACUCAAACUGAUAGAAAAGUAUCGAAAAGACUCAAAACAGAAAAAGUAAGUCUGUAUUUGUUUAAACUAACUA
rnacentral:sRNA from 1 species